UAUGGCUAUAUCAUGUUGAAACACUGGAUCUCAUAUAAUCACUGAAGUUAAGCAACCUUGAACCUGAUCAGUACAUAGAUGGGUGACCGCUUGAGUAUAUUGGGUGUUGUAAG